rnacentral:snoRNA from 1 species
UAGAUAAAGAUGACGCAAAAUAUAUAAUCCAACACUUGAUCUGAUUUUUUGAUGCUAAAUAUAUCUAUAUGCUCCUGAUUCUAC